rnacentral:rRNA from 1 species
AGAGUUUGAUCCUGGCUCAGGAUAAACGCUGGCGGCGUGCGUAACACAUGCAAGUCGAACGAGAAUGUACUGACAGAUCCUUAGGGUGAAGAUAGUACAGGACAGUGGCGGAUGGGUGAGUAACGCGUAAGAAACCUGCCUUUCACACCGGGAUAGCAGCUGGAAACGGCUAUUAAUACCGGAUGACACUUUUUCCCCGCAUGAGGAAGAGGUUAAAGAAUUUCGGUGAAAGAUGGUCUUGCGUCUGAUUAGCUAGUUGGUGGGGUAACGGCCUACCAAGGCGACGAUCAGUAGCCGGCCUGAGAGGGUGAACGGCCACAUUGGGACUGAGACACGGCCCAAACUCCUACGGGAGGCAGCAGUGGGGAAUUUUGCACAAUGGAGGAAACUCUGAUGCAGCGACGCCGCGUGAACGAAGAAGGUCUUCGGAUUGUAAAGUUCUGUCCUGGGUGAAGAUAAUGACGGUAACUCAGGAGGAAGCCCCGGCUAACUACGUGCCAGCAGCCGCGGUAAUACGUAGGGGGCGAGCGUUGUUCGGAAUUAUUGGGCGUAAAGGGUACGUAGGCGGUUUGUUAAGUUUGGCGUUAAAUCACGGGGCUCAACCCCGUUCAGCGUUGAAAACUGGCAAACUUGAGUAGUAGAGGGGACAGUGGAAUUCCUAGUGUAGCGGUGAAAUGCGUAGAGAUUAGGAAGAAUACCGGUGGCGAAGGCGACUGUCUGGAUACAUACUGACGCUCAGGUACGAAAGCGUGGGGAGCAAACAGGAUUAGAUACCCUGGUAGUCCACGCCCUAAACGAUGAGUGCUAGGUGUCGGGUGUCAAAGCCCGGUGCCGCCGUUAACACAUUAAGCACUCCGCCUGGGGAGUACGCACGCAAGUGUGAAACUCAAAGGAAUUGACGGGGACCCGCACAAGCAGCGGAGCAUGUGGUUUAAUUCGAAGCAACGCGAAGAACCUUACCAGGGCUUGACAUACUAAGGACGUACUUAGAGAUAAGUAUUCUUCUUCGGAAGCCUCAAUACAGGUGGUGCAUGGUUGUCGUCAGCUCGUGUCGUGAGAUGUUGGGUUAAGUCCC